rnacentral:rRNA from 1 species
ACGUAGGGACCAAGCGUUGUUCGGAUUUACUGGGCGUAAAGGGCGCGUAGGCGGCAUGUUAAGUCAGCUGUGAAAUCUCCGAGCUUAACUCGGAACGGUCAGCUGAUACUGAUAUGCUAGAGUGCAGAAGGGGCAAUCGGAAUUCUUGGUGUAGCGGUGAAAUGCGUAGAUAUCAAGAGGAACACCUGAGGCGAAGGCGGGUUGCUAGGCUGAUACUGACGCUGAGGCGCGAAAGCUAGGGUAGCAAACGGGA